ACAUUAUGCAUUAUAACGCACUGACUUGUGAACACUGGAAAUAAAUGAACCGAACUGACUUCUAUAACGAAACGUUUGAACAGAUUUGAACAAAUACAACAAAGUGGACUCACACAUCGAAAUCGUCCCCUUCGAAAUCGUCCUCUUCAAUCUUCCCUCCUGUCAGGACUUCUAUACCAUCGUUGGCUGGAGGGGCAGCAUUGGCAUGAGGACCUGAAGUAUAAAUGGAAAGAAACACGCAACAGAGUUUUACUCACGAUGCGAUGGACUCUUCACCACUGGAGUAUAAUUUUACUGAAAAUGACGCCAAGGCAUUGGAGGCCUUAAUGCAAGCGAUUGACAGCAAUGAGCUAGAUGCAGAGAUGGAGACUAUGGCCGAUCUCCCCCUGAAGAACGGCGUCUCCACAGGAUGGUGGCACCACCACCCCCACCACACUCACCACCAUCACCACCACCACACCCACCACCACUACCACCACAAGCGAGAUGAAAACUAAUCAGAUCGCAUGCUCAAUUAGGCUAUCGACAUCCAUGAGUAAUGUUGCCACGAGGGAUGCUACUGGGAGGAAAUCGUGGAAUAUUGCUAGACAACACAGCAAGAUACACGGCCUGAACGGGCAUGCUGCCCGGCUUAGUUAACGUAGAAUUAGUAAUGAAGUCGUUCCUUUUAUCUUGAUAUGAUGUAUUCCUUCGUCUUUAAGUAACUUUGCUUAUUUUUUUUCUCUUAAUAUUUAAAUGUGGUAUUUUGGGAUUAUUGUUUUGAAGCCGGUUGUCUAACGAGUAUAUCACACAUUGUAUUAACUGAUUACUCAAUCAAUAUUUGAUUCAAACAAUAUUCAAACAAUACUGAUCAAGGUGGUGAAUUUUGAAAGAAAAAAACAAACGAGGGGAAAAACCGACAAAAAGUCACGCAUGACGUAAACGUAAUAGCAGAAUAAGAAGGAGGGACGUUGCUUGCUGGUUCGAGCUCGCACCUCCAUUUUAUAACUGCAUUUUUUCAAAUAAUAUUCCUCAAAUAAUAUGAAACUGCUAUGAAGACUUUGGGGAAAAGCGUUAUAAAGAAAACUGCAAUUUCUCCACGAGGACAGACCGCUUUUUUAAAACUUUGUUCCGUUGUUCUUGUAUAUCUUUCAAAAUUAGAAAGUCAUAAGUACUCUGUGAAAUCAACUUAAGUUUGAAGACUGUUCGAACCAAAUUAAGAAACUAUAGUCACGUAUACAUAGCAAAAGAAUUUGACGACCCGCUGCAACUGUAGUUUUACAUAAAGUUAUUCAUAAGCUUUUUGUCCAAUACACGAGAGGAAGAAAGUGGCAGAGCCCUAGCUGCAAAUAUUACAAUUAAUUUUGGUUUAAGUAGACCUUCGUCAUAAAGUACGCAUAUCGGUUGGUAAAGUUUUGGCGUAAUAACAAACUUCGGCCCGAUCUAGGUACCUGAAGAUAGAACUAUUAUUCUUGCAAUGAACCUGUCGAUUACUUUAGCAAGUUUAAAAUACGAUUACAAAAUCAACCGUGAUAGAAUCACUUACUUAUACGAUCAUGAACAUGUUAUACAUAAAAAAAAAACUUGUUUUGUGUCAAUCUAAUCUAUUUUUGCUCCUAGAAUAGAUCUGGUUUUACUCUACAAAGUUGAUCUUUAAAAGUAAAAUCUUAAGACACUGUGCAAUGAUUUCUAUUUAUAGACAGAUAAAUCACUAGAGACUCGUAUCUUACUACUGUAAUUCUUUCAUUGGUUCAGGUAAUCUCUUACUUUUAUUUCAACUUUUCAAAUUACACAUUUUACUGAAAGACUUCAUUAAAUUAAGUAGCAAAGCAAUCUG